rnacentral:rRNA from 1 species
UAGGGAAUCUUCGGCAAUGGACGCAAGUCUGACCGAGCAACGCCGCGUGAGUGAAGAAGGUUUUCGGAUCGUAAAGCUCUGUUGUCAGCAAAGAACAGGAGAAAGAGGAAAUGCUUUUUCCAUGCCGGUAGCUGACCAGAAAGCCACGGCUAACUACGUGCCAGCAGCCGCGGUAAUACGUAGGUGGCAAGCGUUGUCCGGAUUUAUUGGGCGUAAAGCGAGCGCAGGCGGUGAUUUAAGUCUGAUGUGAAAGCCUCCAGCUCAACUGGGGAGGGUCAUUGGAAACUGGAUCACUUGAGUGCAGAAGAGGAGAGUGGAAUUCCAUGUGUAGCGGUGAAAUGCGUAGAUAUAUGGAGGAACACCAGUGGCGAAGGCGGCUCUCUAGUCUGUAACUGACGCUGAGACUCGAAAGCGUGGGUAGCAAACAG